rnacentral:rRNA from 1 species
GACGAACGCUGGCGGCGUGCCUAAUACAUGCAAGUAGAACGCUGAAGAGAGGAGCUUGCUCUUCUUGGGUGAGUUGCGAACGGGUGAGUAACGCGUAGGUAACCUGCCUUGUAGCGGGGGAUAACUAUUGGAAACGAUAGCUAAUACCGCAUAACAAUGUAUGACACAUGUCAUUUAUUUGAAAGGGGCAAUUGCUCUACUACAAAAUGGACCUGCGUUGUAUUAGCUAGUAGGUGAGGUAAUGGCUCACCUAGGCGACGAUACAUAGCCGACCUGAGAGGGUGAUCGGCCACACUGGGACUGAGACACGGCCCAGACUCCUACGGGAGGCAGCAGUAGGGAAUCUUCGGCAAUGGGGGCAACCCUGACCGAGCAACGCCGCGUGAGGGAAGAAGGGUGUCGGAUCGGAAAGCUCGGUUGUAAGUCAAGAACGGGUGUGAGAGUGGAAAGUUCACACUGUGACGGUAGCUGACCAGAAAGGGACGGCUAACUACGUG